rnacentral:lncRNA from 1 species
AUGGUUCACUCAGAGGCGUUUUUCUCGGACUCAGAAGAGUCAGACGUAGAGAAUGGCAAUAUGCAUCUGUCUACACUCGUUGAGGAGGAGGAGUCUGUUUACAUCGACCUUCUUUUCCGGGAAUGCACAGAAGGAAUCAAUGAUGUAAAAAGAGAUGAAGAAGAGGAAGAAGAGGAAGAAGAGAUGAAAUUCAGCGUUCAUGAGGAGCUUGCUGGAGUGCCUGCAGCUGUGUGUGAAUAUGGAGGCGGAGAUAGGAAUCUGAGGGGGAAAAUGAGCACAGAUCCUACAACUGACUGCUACAAGGAUGCUGAGCUGGAGACCUCAGCCUGAAGCUGAGUAGAACUGGAGAUCUUAUGGCGCUUGGCGACACUUAUGUGCUCACCCUUCUACUCCACUAUGAAUGAACAACUAAGUGGCACUUUAGUUUUUAAUCCAAAGACUGAGACGAAGUCUUAGAAAUAAGUUUUACUUUUAAUGUUAUAUGCCAUAUGAAACAACUUUUGUACCUUUACUACUUAUAUUUCUUAUUCUUUAUGUAAUAAAUAAAUAUACCGAUAAGUACCC